CCUCCAUCUCUCGUCUACCUAGGUGGUCACUGGUGAGCACCAGCGGCUAGAAAAACAGAUUCUCCACCCAGAGGGCAACAGAACUCUUCACCUAAGUUCUGAACUUAAGGCUCCGAAGCCCUCGCCUCUCUGUGCCAGCCUGUGGGAGGCCCUUCAGACCUGUUUUUGUUGGCUGUGAAGGAGUUCCAGGGUCACAGAGGGCUCAGAGAGCCUUUCCUGCAGUGCCCACCCAUACUCUCUUCUCUUCCAACUUCGAUGAACAUGUGAUUGUCUGAUGGAAAAAAAAAGUUUUGAGGGAGUUUACUGUUCGUGCGAGGUGACUGGUUGACUAACGAAGACCAAAGUUUUUUAUCUGCAGAACAAAUAAAGCCUGGCCAAAGGGAGGAUGCUACUCACCUGAAUUCUCCCCUUUGGAAAAGGAUGUGGCCAGAGCAAGAGCGCUGGUUUCCCAGCUCAUUACUGAAGGGGCAGAAUGGCAUGCAGAAAGCCACUGUGACUUUGAAGCCACCGCUUUGCUGUGCCCAGUGCUCUCUCGGGGACUGGCCUUGGGGAGGAGGUUCAAAGGGAAACCUUCAGAGGAUAUUCUCUCUGCAUCCCCUAGUGGAGCUGCUUCACUUGACUCAAAGGGGAGAUCUACAGUAAUACUGAGUGGAUCUGGUAAAUUCAAAA